rnacentral:rRNA from 1 species
CGGCGGCCGCGAUUCCUAGUGAUUUCCGGUUGAUCCCGCCGGAGGUCACUGCUAUCGGUGUCCGAUUGAGCCAUGCGAGUCGUGAGAUUAAUGGUCUCGGCGUACUGCUCAGUAACACGUGGACAAUCUGCCCAAGGGUCCGGGAUAACCCCGGGAAACUGGGGAUAAUACCGGGCGGGCCAUCCUUUCUGGAAUUUUGGGGGGUGGUUUAAAGGUUUCGCCCUUGGAUGGGUCUGCGGCGGAUUAGGUUGACGCCGGUGUAA